ACAGCAACUAAAGGAUCCUGUUGGAAUUUAUUAGGUUUAUUUAAGAAAUUAAUUAGAGAUUUGAUUUGAUUUUGUAGUAGGGUAUUUUGGCAUUUACGCAUUAGGGUUCUUAGGUUUAUUUCACUAUAAAUAGAGCUUGUAAUUUAGUUUGAGAACAAGUUAGUUUUAUUCGAGUUAUAUAGUCAUCUAGGUAUUUUCGAUUAUAAAAAGUAUUAUUCUUAGUUUUAUAUUGUUGGUCUCUCAUUUUCAACAUGUAUCAAAGCAUGUUUAAUCGUUUGGGGUUGAAUCUGUUCUUAGUAGCCAGUUUGUUUGUCUUGUCACGUUCCUCUUCUUCGUGUCAGUUUGUGUGUUAGUUUGCUCGGUAUCAGUUUUGUUAAGGUUUUGUUCCCCAGCCGGCUAAUACCAUCGUAUCAUCCGCACCGCACCGCCGCCGUUACUCCGCUGCACCUUUGCACCUCAAGACUACCGCUGCCUGAUCUCGCGCCUGACCUGUGUUUGUCGAAGUCAGUUACCUGCUUUGCGAUAGCUUCUCUCUCCCUUCUUGAUUGCCAGCUCUUCAUACUCUGAUCACAAUUGCUGAGAGUGUCAAGGGCAAUGGAGUUGCUGUUGAAAAGAAAGUAACCAACCUUAGUUAUGCGACUCAAAAUCUGGGGCAGCUUCUGGACCUUAUUCUCAGGAAGAAUGAAGAUGGGGGAUGGCGUCUACAUAUUGAGGGGCCAAAUGCUAUGUUUGUGAACUGUUUUUUAUAUAUUGCACAGUAAGAUGAUGAUUAUAUCUCUGGUGUCCACUCGAAAUCUCUGGACUCUUCUGCUUCGUUCGGUUUUCUGUCAACCAAAAAUGCAAAUCCCUGCUUCUCGAACACACUCUCUCUCUCUCACCACCAGGCUCUGCUGCGGCGUCAAAUUCUGGGCCUCCAUCGACGUCGUUUUCUAAAACCCUUUCUACUCAAGGUAAAGUUAUUCUAGGUUUUAGUCCAUAUUCAGAUCACCCCCAAUUUCAAAAUUUUAGGGAAUUGAUUCGUUUUCCUGUUGCAUGUUUAACAUUCAUCUGGGUGAUGGUGGUUUGAGGGUGUACAAACUGGAAUUGCUGAUGGUAGGCUUGAAUUUGGCCAAAUUUGGUUAUUUGGUACAACUAUUCAUACUCUGAUCACAAUUGCUGAGAGUCUCAAGAGCAAUGGAGUUGCUGUUGAAAAGAGCAUAAGCACCUCUACUGUUGUCUUGAAGCUGGAUGGCGAAGAUGGACGGAUUGUGUUGAAGGCUCAGUUGGUGAUUUUGCUGGGAAAGGCUGAAGAAGUCGAGGAGACUGCAAUUCCUGUGGUUGCAGCGUGAAGGCAUGUAUGAUUCAGCAGAGUUUGAGUUGAAACUUGGAUGAUGAGUUGUAGCUGGGUAAUUCAUUAGAAUAAUAAGGAUGUGUAUAUGAGAGACAGGUUUAGCACUUUGAUGUAAAUAAUGAGAUUUUUUGCAGCUCACAGCUCUCUCUCUCUCUCUCUCUCUCUCUCUCUCUCUCUCUCUCUCUAAGGAUGUGUAUAUGAGAGACAGGUUUAGCACUUUGCGUCCUAAUACAUGUUUUCUUACAUGUCCUUUGAUAUAAAUAAUGAGGUUUUUUGCAGCUCAUAGCUCUCUCUCAGCUCACACACGCACACAUAAACAACCACAUUGUUAGAAAGCUGAAGAAACACUAGAAUUUAGUGAGUCUGAAACGUUAAGGUUGACAUUUAGGGUUCUCUUUCUUGUAGAGGGUAGAAGAUAUCUGGAUCUGCAUCAAAUUUCAAUUUUUGUGCCCAGAUUUUAGUGCCCUGUACUGUUUGUGUUGUGCUAAAAGCAUGAUUGUUUAUGUUGGAGUGGUUUAAGGGAAUGUCCAACUGAGUUGAGCAGUUUUUGUUCAUUCUGUUAAGGUAAUUUAGGCGUCUAAAAAUGCUCGAGAGUUGAAUGUGACAAAGUAAGCAGAUCAGCAUGUAAACCUGAAACCAAGAAGCUCAAACCCUGAGAAUUUGAUGGUUAGCCCUGUUUUCA